GAGCAAAGAGGCUUGAUAAAGUAGGGAAUUUUUUUGCGUUGAAGAGAAGCAAUUAUUAAUGCAGUUCUCCGUGCUGCUCAGACUUACUCUACUGCAACGAACUCGAACAAUCCGCAAGAUA